rnacentral:rRNA from 1 species
UAUUUCUGGGGUAGGGGCGAAAUCCUUUGAUCCCAGGAGGACCACCAGUGGCGAAGGCUGCUUACUAGAACACGCCUGACGGUCAGGAACGAAAGCUGGGGUAGCGAACCGGAUUAGAUACCCGGGUAGUCCCAGCUGUAAACGAUGCGCGCUAGGUGUUGGGUCGGCCAUGCGCCGCCCCAGUGCCGCAGGGAAGCCGUUAAGCGCGCCGCCUGGGGAGUACGGCCGCAAGGCUGAAACUUAAAGGAAU